CCUCACGCUGCAUAUACCUGCUGCCCAUAUGCGGUUGUCGGUCCCUCGGGUGGGUCCGCGGAGGCCGAUUUAAAGAUGCGUACAAGCUGCAGCGCGAACAGUAGGUCACUGGUGGCGAUUUGGAUGCCAUGCUGACUUUCGAACAGCCGGCGUGGGCUCGAUUCCAUUGUGGUUGACUGAAAGUGGUAACUACGACCAUCCUAUCACGUUCCACUGUGACUUCUCUUCCAUUUCAUCACUAAAUCAAAUGAAUCAGGUAUUUUCAAGAGAGCGAGCCAGCAUGCGGAAGCCCGGAGCAUGUGGGCUGGCACCAGUCGUGGUUUGGUUUUUGAUCUCACCUGGGUAGCUAUGCCCUGUUUAUUUAUUUACUUAUAUGCGAAUUCAAUACACCGAUUGACUGUCUUUUCAGUUUUCAGACAAAUUCCACAUUCUCUGAUGUUUAUGGCCCUAAGUGGAAAAUCUUUUGUUACUAAGGAAUAAGUAUUUAUCUAUUUUAUAAUAUUUAUUAGUAUUUUCCGCACUAUAAGGUGCACCACAUUAAAAGGGACACUUUCAAUGAAUGGCCUAUUUUAAAACUUUUUUCAUAUAUAAGGCGCACCGCAUUAUAAGGCGCAUAGAAUAGCCGCUACCAUACAGGCUGGGGUUACGUUAUGCAUCCGUUAGAUGGAGCUGCACUAAAGGCGCAAUAUUGAUCCAUAAAUCAGUCGCACUGGAUAAUAAGGCGCAUCAUCGGCUUUUGAGAAAAUUAAAGGCUUUUAAGUGCGCCUUAUAGUGUACAGUAAUCUUUUCCAUACUUUUGUCUAAAAUAACACUUGCAAAGAUGCCAGUACCAUGUUGUAUUUGUACUGUGCGGGAUGAACAACCCCUUCUUUGGUUUCGGGCACAGUGAGGUAUUAAACAUUAACUUUGAGCAAUUAUUCAAUAGCUGGAUCGCUGUACAGCUAUUAACUCACAUCUUUACAGCUUUAGGCAUCGUUAAGUAAAUGCUAGUGUUAAUAUUUACCUGGAAGCUGCACCUCCAAUUUGAAAUAAAUGCAUUGGGAAACAGAUCCAGAUGAUGAAUGCAAAGAUGUUUUGCGGUCAUCAAUUGUACACUAGUGAAUUGCAUUUAACCAUGAGGUCAUGUGACAAAUGUUAUGAUCCACAGUUACUAAGUUUUCUCAGGGUAAGAACGUAGACCCGACAUAUUGCUGGUAUGAUUAAUUUUUGUAGACUUUGGUAAGUAAAUUUAAAAAAAAAAAAAGGAUUUCCUGAGGUAAAUAUGGACUCAUAUGUUAAUAUCCCCAUAAUGACUCUAAUACAAUGAAACCAUUGUGGUUUGCCAGUGACCAGGUUAAGUAUUGCUUUGUACUUGCAACCGUGGUGGCGGCAUUUCCUGUCAACAGCUGCUGCCUGCCUUCUUCAACCAAGUUCACGGACGAAUUGCAGACAGAACAAUCAGUACCUGACGUGGAGUUUUUCUCCCGACUCCGGAGACAUGCCCACCCAUGAAGAGCGGCUGUAGAAAAAUGUCAUGUCCAUUGUGCCAAACCUCUGUGCAGUAAUUUGGUAUGAAGAGUGAAUGUAGAAAAAUGUCAUAUCCAUUAUCCCAAACCUCUGUACAGUUAUUUGGCCACUGGUGAUGGUGUAAUGGUAUACACGCCCCACUUUGGCGGGGCAUCUUGGGAUCGAUUCCCGUUCAGUGAUGGUGUCGAUAUCUGCCCCGUGACUGAGUGGCGACCAGUUCAGGGUGUAGUCCGCCUUUCGCCUGAAGAUAUCUGGGAUAGAAUCCAGCUCUUCCGUGACUCUUGUGAGGAUAAACGGCUCAGAUAAUAGAUGGAUGUAUUUCAUUAGAGUUACACCCUAUUUUGUCAUGCAUUAUCUGAAGAGACAAAUCCUGUCCUGAUGACUGGUUA